UACGGGGGGGGCAAGCGUUGUUCGGAAUUACUGGGCGUAAAGGGCUCGUAGGCGGCCAACUAAGUCAUACGUGAAAUCCCUCGGCUUAACCGGGGAACUGCGUCUGAUACUGGAUGGCUUGAGUUCGGGAGAGGGAUGCGGAAUUCCAGGUGUAGCGGUGAAAUGCGUAGAUAUUCGGAAGAACACCAGUGGCGAAGGCGACUCGCUGGACAGACAUUGACGCUGAGGUGCGAAAGCGUGGGGAGCAAACAGG
rnacentral:rRNA from 1 species